GCCGAGGUAGCUCAACGGUAGAGCAAUCGCUUCGUAAGCGAUAGGUUGUGGGUUCGAAUCCCAUCCUCGGCU
rnacentral:tRNA from 1 species